ACAGCAGUAGCCGCGGUAAUACGGAGGGUGCAAGCGUUAAUCGGAAUUACUGGGCGUAAAGCGCACGCAGGCGGUCUGUCAAGUCAGAUGUGAAAUCCCCGGGCUUAACCUGGGAACUGCAUUUGAAACUGGCAGGCUAGAGUCUUGUAGAGGGGGGUAGAAUUCCAGGUGUAGCGGUGAAAUGCGUAGAGAUCUGGAGGAAUACCGGUGGCGAAGGCGGCCCCCUGGACAAAGACUGACGCUCAGGUGCGAAAGCGUGGGGAGCAAACAGGAUUAGAUACCCGGGUAGUCCCUGUCUCUUAUAC
rnacentral:rRNA from 1 species